UUUUUGAGGGGGGCAGGGUGUUGGUUAAGAAAAGAUCUUGCCAUGUAGCCCAGGCUGACCUUGUACCUAUGGAGUCAAGUCUGGCCUCUAAUUUGCAUUCCCCCUGCUUCAGCCUUUCAAGCGUUGUAAUUACAGGCAUACUGCAUAAUGUCUGGCUCAGAGAAAGACUUCCUGCUAUAAUAUGAGCCCCAAAUCAAAUUAGUACCUGAAACCAGAUACUGAAUAGAACUUUUGAUUUCAUUCACCACCAAAAACAGUUUGUCGAGGCUUUAUUGAUUAGGGUUUACAUCAUCUGCAAGUAGGAGAGUUAUUUACCUCUAAUUGUUCCCGUGACACCACCCACUCCUUCACCUACCAGCGACGCCGUGUUCAGAGCAGAAUUAUCCCUGUGUGCCACAGACUGGAUAGAAAACUGUCCGGUCUCUAGAAGUUAAGCACAGCAGUUGCAAGUGGAUGACAAGUCCAAGUUGCUCUUUUUCCUCAGUUUUCAUUCUCUGUGGUUGACAUCUUCUCUUCAGUUCUAACAUCACAGCAUUAGCUACAAAAUUCAGUGUCAGCCAUCUCUUAGCAAAAGGAAGCACAGAAGCAAAACCCUGUGGAUGGAUGAUCUGGGCUGUUACAUAGUUGACCUUUGUGGCAGAAGGGACUAGAGUGGGCUAGGCUAGUAAGAGUACAAGCUGAGGGGCUGGGGAGAUGGCUCAGUGGUUAAGAGCACUGACUGCUCUUCCAGAGGUCCUGAGUUCAAAUCCCAGCAACCACAUGGUGGCUCACAACCAUCUGUAACGAGAUCUGAUGUCUUUUCUGGUGUGUCUGAAGACAGCAACAGUGUACUUAUACAUAAUAAAUAAAUAAAUAAAUAAAUAAAUAAAUAAAUCUUUUAAAAAAAUUAAAUGUGACUUCAGAUAUGGAUUUCCAGGAAGGCCUUGGAUGGAAAGAAUCCUGCGGGAACGGAGUAGAGCCACAUUUGAAGAGCAAUAUGUUCUCACUAGAGUGGAGACAGGAGAGACAAUGAUGGGUGAGGUGCUUAGAAUAUCUGUGACACCUUUACAGAGACAAAUUGGCAGAUGCAGCCAUCAGCCUUGAAUACCCUUGUUUUCAGUUACUGGGGAGCAUGAGUAGUAAAAAGAUGCCAAUGUUCUAUGAAGGGAGUCAGAGAGGAAUGUUGGAAGAGGGCAGUAUAGGGAGAAGAGAAUUUGUAAAGGUGGCCCUUGGCAGGGUUUUGUGUAGGUGCUAAGAACAGAUUUCAUACAUAGGUGCUUGCUGUCCCCAAAGAGCAAGCUGCAUCAAAUUAACAGUAAUGACACUCUCCCUUCUGAAAAGAUCAAAUAUCAAGGGCAGCAGGCUAUAGUAUGGGCUUUUCUGUCAUCACUAUGGAAACAAUUCUCUGCAGGGCUGCCACGUAAUGAGCCUAAGUGGAGAGACUGAAGCACAAGUUAGCAUUAAGUGCUAUGCAAUGAGAGAAAGACAGGCCUUUGGAUCAUCAAGCAUGCCCACGAUUAGAGGGAAGAAGCUAGUUUCAAAGAGCUAGUUUUCAAUAACUAAGGAUACAUACCAGCUCAAGACAUGUUAUGUGGUGGCCAGAAACAGAAAAGAUGAAGUAUAAGGGGGAAAGUAGAAAAAGUGAUGCUUAGCGAACACCAGUUAGAACCCAGGAGUCAGGGAACAAUAGGAUGAAGCGUCAGAACUGGGAGAGGAAGACGGAAAGGAGGUAUGGCUACUCUCCUUGGUGUCUGGACAAGACAGAACCAUCCAUUCCAAGGGCCCUCCACACCUGACUUGCAUUCACAGGGUAUAUGACCUUUUUGGUCAUAGCUUCAUUCCAACUAUCCUGGUUUCCCUUUUCCCGCUCUGUAGUGUGGAAGCAGAGAUUCCUAUGGAAGACCAAGUGGUUUGUGAGAAGUCAACCCCAGUUCAAGGUGAUUCAUCCCAUGACAGACCAUUAACAGUGUAGUAAAAGCCACCUCUGCAAUUGUGUAGCAGAGAAGCACGGCAUCAAGUAAAAACAAACGCUCGGGGAAAGUCUCGGGAGGUCCUAGUCAAAGAUCAUGUCAGCAUCUAUUAUGUCAGUAGCAAGGAAAAGCGAGCCAGGAAAAUGGCCGGGCGAGAGUCGUGACCUGGAGGUCUUUUGAAGCCUCUGUCUAUCUCCGUUCGACGGAUAUCCCCAUAGGAGAUGGUGCACACGCUCAGUCUUUGGAUGGAACCCUCCGGACACGCCACGGUCAUCUGGACUCUGGGGAAGGUGAUAAUCACAGAGGCCUAAAGUUCUUGACUUUUCAGUUCUCACGAACCUCCGGAAGCGCCCUUGCGGCAGUAAACCACCAGGUGACACGGCCCGCUCCACAGACAGCAGGGGAAGGGGCUGGUAAAAAGCCAGAAGUCCCGCCUUCUCUGCGAAGCGGUCCAGAAAAUGGCUCACAAUCUAUAGCAUUGGUCCAGUGUCUCUCUGGCCCGCCAGAAAUGCCCUUCUGGGUUUUCAUUGGCCAGCAAAAGGAUGUAAUACUUGUCGCGUGUCAGUGAUGUAUGUCCGUUUACGUCACAAUCACCGUGGCAACGACAAAUCGGAGCCGUGAUGGUUUCUGGGAAACGGCGUGCCAUUGUCUAAGCACCCUAAGCCAAUGAAAUUUCAGAGGUAUGGUUUAAAUCUCUAGAGGAACAGUGGGAGGGGCGGGAUUUCUAGUGCCCAGACGGGUCCUGUGUUGCAUUCUGUAGUACGUUGUCCUCUGGGCAACUGGCGCUCCACUAGAUGGGACGGACAGAGAUUGUCAGGACGUAGUAUAAUUCACCGCUACUGUAUUAGCUGGGUCUUUCCUCUUCUGCAACCUGUGCCAAGAGGCUCGGGUUCUCCGCGCUUGGAUUUAGUUCCCAUGAUCCCCGCAGUCGGGCCUCCGAGCCCUUAGGUAGAGUCUCAGGAAGAUCAAAAGCCUGAGGGCCGAUAUCCUCCUCAGUCACUACGCCAUUGGAAAUGUGAAGUAUCUGCCCAGCCUAGAACAGGGUAGAUCAGUCCCAGGUGGUGACUAAAUCCUUGAUAUCAAGAAACAGGCCCCAGUCACGUGCCUGCACUGUGAGGGAGGCAUCCAAGUGAGCUCUGGUCAGAGGCUGCUUUCGGACAAGAUCCAACAUCUCUUGGCCUCCGGCCCUGUGGUAAGCUUCCUGGUUACACAGGUUCCAAAUCAUAUCCACCAACCAAUGCUUUGCUCUGAAUGGUCCCACCACUGUGACUCGAGUCUGGCCUGAAGCUGUGAACCAUCCCUCCAGUUGAAUAAAGGUGUUGCUGUGUUCCUCAA